rnacentral:rRNA from 1 species
GGGAGCUCUCCCAUAUGGUCGACCUGCAGGCGGCCGCGAAUUCACUAGUGAUUAGAGUUUGAUCAUGGCUCAGAACGAACGCUGGCGGCAUGCCUAACACAUGCAAGUCGAACGAACCCUUCGGGGUUAGUGGCGCACGGCUGCGUAACGCGUGGGAAUUUGCCCUUGGCUUCGGAAUAACAGUUAGAAAUGACUGCUAAUACCGGAUGAUGUCUUCGGACCAAAGAUUUAUCGGCCAGGGAUGAGCCCGCGUAGGAUUAGGUAGUUGGUGGGGUAAAGGCCUACCAAGCCGACGAUCCUUAGCUGGUCUGAGAGGAUGAUCAGCCACACUGGGACUGAGACACGGCCCAGACUCCUACGGGAGGCAGCAGUGGGGAAUAUUGGACAAUGGGCGCAAGCCUGAUCCAGCAAUGCCGCGUGAGUGAUGAAGGCCUUAGGGUCGUAAAGCUCUUUUACCCGGGAUGAUA